UUGGUUUUUCUGGACAACAAAACACCUUGAGCUAAGAGAGAAAACAAUUUACUUCAUGAUAUAACAUUAGUCUCUCUUUUUGCUUCACAAUUGGAUAAACCACUUCUCAACUCAUUUCCCAACUCUUGUUCAUUGAAUGCAUUUUUAUUUCUUUUCUUCUUCUUUCUUCUUUUUCUUUCUUUUUGACUCAUAUUAUUAUUUUCUCAAUGCUCCCUUAUUUCAUAAACUCCCCCAAACUUAAACCAUUCUCCUCAUCCUAACAUAUAUGCUCAUCUCAACUCAAGGUAAGGAGGUUAAGGAUUUUUCAAUAAGCUUAAGGUUCCAGGGAUGAGAAAGUUUUUCUUCAAGGUUCAAAGGUUUUGCAUUGGCUUUUAGGCUCAAAAAUGU
rnacentral:lncRNA from 1 species